CCUCCGUGUGCAACAGAAAACCUCUCACCCUCCACCCGCCACCACCAUGGGGCACUUCAGAGUGACACCUGUAGGUGUCUGAGGGAACCAGGUCGUUAGAAAGCAUUGGGGUGCUUCUUCCGAGUGACACCUGCAGAGAGGAAAGAGACCCCUGGUAUCGGCGCAAGGCUCUCCAGUGGCACCCAGACAAAAACCCGGAUAAUAAAGAAUUUGCUGAGAAGAAAUUUAAGGAGGUGGCCGAGGCAUAUGAAGUGCUGUCUGACAGUAAGGGCCGGGGUCAGGCAGAACCCAGCACAUCAUCCCCUACUUCAUGCCCCAGCUCACAUUUUCUUAAAGCAAUGUCUCUGCCACCCUAGUUUCCUCUGUGCCUUUUUCCAGCCUGACAUUUAAGCUCCCCCCUCCCACAGGGACAGCUCAGUGUCUGCUCCCCAGAGUCUGGUAUGAGUGGCUGGCAUGAGACCUGAAAGGGGAAGGAAGCAGGGCAGGUAACUCAUGUGAGCUGAGUCUCCUGUGUGCCAGGCAUUGGUGGGUGUCAUCUCCAUGAGUUCUCACAGCCGUCCUAUGAGGCAGGUUCUAUCACCCCUAUUUUACAGGCAAGGAAACUUGAGGCUGAGAGAGGUGAAGUAACUUGCUCAAGGCCACGCAGAGCUGGAAUAUGAAUCCAGGUCUGCCUUUUUAUUGAUUCAUUCAAAAAGUAAUUCAGUGAAUGGUGACAGUGUCCGGCACUUGCUGGGUGCUGGGGAAACUGGAGGACAAGCAGGCACUGUCCUUGCCCAGAGGGGCAGGGAAGACCAACACCUACCAGGCACACACACAGACACAGUUACAGCUUCUGAAGAGUAUUCAGAGGGAAGAAACAGGGCAGGUGGAGUGCUAGGGAAUAAUGUGCACCUGCUUUUGUUCUGGUGAUUGUAGAAGGCCUCUCCGAGGAGGUGACAUUUAGGCUAAGCCC
rnacentral:sRNA from 1 species